UACAGAGGGGGCGAGCGUUGUCCGGAAUCACUGGGCGUAAAGGGCGCGUAGGUGGCGACCCAAGUCGAUGGUGAAAGCUCGUCGCUCAACGACGAGUCGGCCACCGAUACUGGGUUGCUCGAGCACUGUAGAGGCAGAUGGAAUUCCGGGUGUAGCGGUGAAAUGUGUAGAGAUCGGGAGGAACACCAGAGGCGAAGGCGGCUAGCUGGACAGUAACUGACACUCAACUGCGAAAGCGUGGGGAGCAAACAGG
rnacentral:rRNA from 1 species